rnacentral:rRNA from 1 species
GUGCACGCUGGCGGUAGGAAGAACACAUGGAAGUCGAACGGAAGCACCGUAAGAGCUUGCUCUUACGGGUGGCGAGUGGCGGACGGGUGAGGAAUACAUCGGAAUCUACUUUUUCGUGGGGGAUAACGUAGGGAAACUUACGCUAAUACCGCAUACGACCUACGGGUGAAAGCAGGGGAUCUUCGGCACUUGCGCGAUUGAAUGAGCCGAUGUCGGAUUAGCUAGUUGGCGGGGUAAAGGCCCACCAAGGCGACGAUCCGUAGCUGGUCUGAGAGGAUGAUCAGCCACACUGGAACUGAGACACGGUCCAGACUCCUACGGGAGGCAGCAGUGGGGAAUAUUGGACAAUGGGCGCAAGCCUGAUCCAGCCAUACCGCGUGGGUGAAGAAGGCCUUCGGGUUGUAAAGCCCUUUUGUUGGGAAAGAAAAGCAGCAGGUUAAUACCCCGCUGUUCUGACGGUACCCAAAGAAUAAGCACCGGCUACCUUCGUG